UGUUGGUGCUUUAGCGAAGGGGGUACACCCGUUCUCAUUCCGAACACGGAAGUUAAGCUCUUCAUCGCCGAUGGUACUCCGUAAGGGGCAGAGUAGGUAGGCGCCAACAU
rnacentral:rRNA from 2 species